rnacentral:rRNA from 1 species
UACGAAGGGGGCUAGCGUUGCUCGGAAUCACUGGGCGUAAAGGGUGCGUAGGCGGGUCUUUAAGUCAGGGGUGAAAUCCUGGAGCUCAACUCCAGAACUGCCUUUGAUACUGAAGAUCUUGAGUCCGGGAGAGGUGAGUGGAACUGCGAGUGUAGAGGUGAAAUUCGUAGAUAUUCGCAAGAACACCAGUGGCGAAGGCGGCUCACUGGCCCGGUACUGACGCUGAG